CACCCAACGAACAAAACAAACAAAGUACCUUCCCCUUCCUCAACUCCACGUCUCUGAAUUUUUCUUUCUCUUUCUCUCUCUUUCCUAUUCCUUGCUUGCAUGACUUGCCAAGACCCAUUCAAUCUCAAAACAACUUUCAAGAAAACUCAUCCAACAACCCCAUCACCUUCUCUCUUUCUCUCUUAAAUCUCUCUCUCUCUCUCUCUCUCUCUCUCUCUCUCUCUCUGUGUUUCUCUUUCACAUGCCAUUUCCUUCCUCUCACAGUAGCCAUGUCCACCCUCUUCUUCCUCUUCUUCACCAUUUCCAUCUUCUCUUUCCUCCCCUUCUCUUCCCUCUCUCAGCCCCCACCACCACCCAAAGCUAUUCGGAUUGAUUGCGGUGCCAUCGGAAAAUCUGAAUACGACGGAAACUUAUGGCUUCCCGAUGCUCAAUUUGUCUCCGCUGGGACCCCCAAGGUCAUCACCACGCCCGUUAGUGUUCCUAUCCUCUCCACCCUCCGAUCAUUUCCUCUUCUGAACAAUAGAAACAAGAAGUUCUGCUACACCGUCAAUGUUUACCACGGAGCCAAGUACAUGGUCCGGACGACAUACUACUACGGAGGGAUCAACGGCAAGGAUUCCCCACCUGUUUUUGAUCAGAUGGUGGAUGGGACUCUAUGGAGCGAGGUCAAUACGACAGCGGAUUAUGCCGACGGACUGUCGUCACCCUAUGAAGGGGUUUUCCUUGCUCAGGGGAAGACCAUGAGCGUGUGCAUUGGGGCCAAUAAUUAUACGGAUUCGGAUCCUUUCAUAUCGGCUUUAGAAUUUGUUAUAUUGAAAGACUCUUUCUACAAUACCACCGAUUUUAACAAGUACGGUCUGGGUUUGGUCGCUCGGAAUUCUUUUGGGUACAGUGGACCUAUAAUCCGAUAUCCUGAUGAUGAAUUUGAUCGAUCUUGGGCACCAUUUGGAAAAUCCAAUCCAACAAGCAAUAGAAAUGUAUCUGUUUCUGGUUUUUGGAAUCACCCUCCUGCGAAAAUUUUCCAGACAGAGUUAACUUCAGGCCAAUCAAAACCCUUGGAUUUGGAUUGGCCACCAUUUUCUCUUCAAAACUCAACCUACUACAUUGCCUUGUACUUUGCACAUGACAGCAAUUCAUCAAGAGAGAGCUCAAGGAUGUUCAAUAUCAGCAUAAAUGGUAUCACAUAUUACAGCAAUCUAAACGUGACUCCAGCUGGCCUUGUUGUCUUUGCAACCCAAUGGCCUCUUUCUGGUCAUACAAGGUUGACUUUGACACCAUCUGUUGACUCUAAAUUUGGUCCCUCCAUUAAUGGCGGCGAGGUGUUUGGAUUGCUAACUCUGGGAGGAAGAACAGUUACCCGAGACGUUAUUGCUUUGGUAAAAUUUAGAGAUAAACUUCAGAACCCUCCAGUUGAUUGGAAUGGUGAUCCUUGUUACCCUCAAAAGUAUUCGUGGACUGGGGUUACAUGCGCAGAAGGCAAAGGCAACCAAACUCGUGUGGUCUCUUUAAACCUGACAGGAAUGGGACUCUCUGGAUCAGUAUCAGCUAGCGUUGCCAAUUUGACCGCAUUGACUGACAUCUUGCUUGGGAAUAACAGAUUGUCUGGAACUAUUCCUGAUCUAAGUUCAUUGAAGUUUAUUAGGAAGUUACAUUUGGAGGACAAUCAGUUCAAUGGAGAGAUUCCCUCAUCGCUUGGGAAAAUUGAAAAAUUGCAGGAACUAUUGGAGCAGCCAAUGAAGAAGAAGGAGGAGGAAUCAGCAGUGUCUGAAUGGGCUAGGUGCCAUCACUGUCCAACAGUUUCUACUUUGUUUCAGUCUGUCUGAGUCUUGCCUGGCUUCUUCUCUGUUGGGCUAUGUGGCUUUUCUCUACGGCCUUUGGCUACUUACAAAACAAUAAUUUGACUGGUCAAAUUCCAAAAAGCCUUCUUGGAAGGUCUGGUUUGGAUCUAAGGACUUUUGGAAAUCCACUUUCGGCACCUCCACCUCAUUGAGAAGCUAGUCUAUGGAUUCAAAAGUAAAAAAGUCACAUGGUUUUGCUUUAUGUAACAAAAUUGAAAACCCAAUUGAACUUUUGGCCGUAAAUAUUUAUUGUCACAUGUGAGCGCUAUAGUCUUUUUCCCUUUAUAUUUUUUUUCCCCUUCAUAUUUGUAAAACCGAUUGUUCAUACAGAGUCAGCCAUUCUUUAUUUCUUGGUUCUUACUCUGAAAUUGUAUCUUAUAGUUUGUCCAAAUACUAAUUUCUCAAAUUACGAUCCUCUUAAUUUGUAUAGUAUGAA